rnacentral:rRNA from 1 species
UGGGGAAUUUUGGACAAUGGGCGAAAGCCUAUCGAGUCCAAUGCCGACUGCGCGUGUGUGAAGAAGGCCUUCGGGUUGUAAAGCACUUUUGUCCGGAAAGAAAUCCUUGGCUCUAAUACAGUCGGGGGAUGACGGUACCGGAAGAAUAAGCACCGGCUAACUACGUGCCAGCAGCCGCGGUAAUACGUAGGGUGCAAGCGUUAAUCGGAAUUACUGGGCGUAAAGCGUGCGCAGGCGGUUUGCUAAGACCGAUGUGAAAUCCCCGGGCUCAACCUGGGAACUGCAUUGGUGACUGGCAGGCUAGAGUAUGGCAGAGGGGGGUAGAAUUCCACGUGUAGCGGUGAAAUGCGUAGAGAUGUGGAGGAAUACCGAUGGCGAAGGCAGCCCCCUGGGCCAAUACUGACGCUCAUGCACGAAAGCGUGGGGAGCAAACAGGAUUAGAUACCCUGGUAGUCCACGCCCUAAACGAUGUCAACUAGUUGUUGGGGAUUCAUUUCCUUAGUAACGUAGCUAACGCGUGAAGUUGACCGCCUGGGGAGUACGGUCGCAAGAUUAAAACUCAAA